rnacentral:rRNA from 1 species
CGGCGUGCUUACACAUGCAAGUCGAGUGCGCGCUUGUAGCAAUACAAGUGGCGCACGGCGCACGGGUGCGUAACACGUGGGUAACCUGCCCUUUGGUGGGGAAUAACCUCGCGAAAGCGAGGCUAAUUCCGCAUAAGAUCCGCAAGGAUGAAAGCCGCAAGGCGCCGAAGGAGGGGCCCGCGCACGAUUAGUUAGUUGGUAGGGUAACGGCCUACCAAGACUAUGAUCGUUAGCUGGUCUGAGAGGAUGGCCAGCCACACUGGAACUGAGACACGGUCCAGACUCCUACGGGAGGCAGCAGUGGGGAAUCUUGCGCAAUGGGCGAAAGCCUGACGCAGCGACGCCGCGUGGGGGAUGAAGCUUCUCGGAGUGUAAACCCCUUUCGACUGGGACGAAUACCUCGCAAGAGGGGUGACGGUACCAGUAUAAGAAGCCCCGGCUAACUACGUGCCAGCAGCCGCGGUAAGACGUAGGGGGCCAGCGUUGUUCGGAAUUACU